UGUCAGACCACUUCUUCCUUCGCCCUAGCUCCUUUUCCAAAGACGCCUCUUUCACGCCGGAGUAAUCAGCUCUGCAGAGCUGAGGAGCUUCUUUGCAUUAUCAAAGAGAGCUGCAGAGAGCAACACGGGAUCUGCCAAGCAGUGCCUCGUCAUCGCCUGGUGAUGUUUGCAGCUGGUACGCUGAAGGCAGCUUUCACCAAGGCUGUUCAGGGGAUGCUGUUUAGCCAAACCUUGCUUACAUAAUAACGCAGUGCCCGAUUCCAGGCAGAUGGGGCUCGAUUUAUUUUUCCUGACAUCUGUCGGAAAGAACUUGGAAGAGGAAAUUCAGAGGGCUGAACCUAGCCCCCAACAAUGGUAUGAUUGAGUCCUUAACCAGUCCAGUGGUAAGUUACUUGACCUACAGGCCUGGAGGGUAUAUAUAGCACAAGGGAAGCCAAGCAAGGUGUCAAGAAGCUCAACUGUAUUGAGGAAGCUGUUGGGGGAUGUCCUCCCAUAAGAUCAGACUUUAAUGGGCAACCAGUUCCAGCCUUCCAUAUGGAGACAAUAGUGUUGACACGGAUAUCAUCUUUGAUUAAGCUGGGAAAGUGCUUUGGGAUCCUCUGAGAUGAAAGGUGCUAUAUAAAUGAAAGGAGAGGGGAUCCCGGGGCUGUCUGCAUUCCAGGCACUCCAACAGUUAAUGAAUAAAACCCUGCCCUGAGACUGGUGUGCAGCAUCCUUCUGUGGGCUUUUUUGUUGAAGCACUGUUGCGUCUUUCUGGCACAGUACGCUGGAGGUUCUAUAUUAGCAAUGAUAACGGAGAGUCCUUGGCCUUUUUUUUUCUAUGCUAUUUAGGCCAACUCUGGGUAAUCGUGCUUUCUAACUCACACUCAGCCUACUGCCAUGGCAACCACUGAAACACGUAGUUCAUAGACUACUUCUGAGAUGUACAGCUCCUUUGAGAAACACAUACACACUGAUGUGUCAUGAAAGGUAUUAAAAGGGGAGAACUAUCAUCCACUAAGCUGGCACAUUUUUUCCAGUUUUAACUCUAGCAGCACAAAUAUUUUUUUCUUUUAGCUUUGAGACUCUUUCUGCCUCCUUUCCUUAGAAAAUUAUUAAAGAUUUAUGAAGAAAAUUAAAAGAAAGAGAGAGAAAAAAAAUGCAUCCAUAAAUUCUACCCCUGCAGCCUAAUUUUACUAUGGUAGAGAAAUCUGCCUUGUAAGAAACCAACAUUAUAUUCAAAUGCUGAGUAUAUGACUAGAGUUUUGCCUAUGGAAAAAAUAAAAAGUUUCCUAUGAUUGUAUUUUACUUCUGUUUUACUUUAAUGCAACUGAAAUAAAAUAAUCAGCCCUUGAGAA